GAUGAACGCUGGCGGCGUGCCUAAUACAUGCAAGUCGAGCGAACAGACGAGGAGCUUGCUCCUCUGACGUUAGCGGCGGGCGGGUGAGUAACACGUGGAUAACCUACCUAUAAGACUGGGAUAACUUAGGGAAACCGGAGCUAAUACCGGAUAAUAUAUUGAACCGCAUGGUUCAAUAGUGAAAGACGGUUUUGCUGUCACUUAUAGAUGGAUCCGCGCCGCAUUAGCUAGUUGGUAAGGUAACGGCUUACCAAGGCAACGAUGCGUAGCCGACCUGAGAGGGUGAUCGGCCACACUGGAACUGAGACACGGUCCAGACUCCUACGGGAGGCAGCAGUAGGGAAUCUUCCGCAAUGGGCGAAAGCCUGACGGAGCAACGCCGCGUGAGUGAUGAAGGUCUUCGGAUCGUAAAACUCUGUUAUUAGGGAAGAACAAAUGUGUAAGUAACUAUGCACGUCUUGACGGUACCUAAUCAGAAAGCCACGGCUAACUACGUG
rnacentral:rRNA from 1 species